UGAGUAACCUGCCCUUCACUUCGGGAUAACUCCGGGAAACCGGGGCUAAUACUGGAUGUGACCUGGUGCCGCAUGGUGCUGGGUGGAAAGUUUUUCGGUGGGGGAUGGACUCGCGGCCUAUCAGCUUGUUGGUGAGGUAAUGGCUUACCAAGGCGACGACGGGUAGCCGGCCUGAGAGGGCGAUCGGCCACACUGGGACUGAGACACGGCCCAGACUCCUACGGGAGGCA
rnacentral:rRNA from 1 species